AUACUUACCUGGCAGGGGUGAUUCCAUGAUCACGAAGGUGUUUUACCCAGGGCAAGGCUUAUCCAUUGCAUUCUGUAUGGGCUGACCCCUGUGAUUUCCCCAAAUGUGGGAAAUGACUGCAUAAUUUGUGGUAUUGGGGGACUGUGUUCAUCCUCUCCCCUG